rnacentral:rRNA from 1 species
CGGCGGACGGGUGAGUAACACGUGGAUAACCUACCUAUAAGACUGGGAUAACUUCGGGAAACCGGAGCUAAUACAGGAUAAUAUUUCGAACCGCAUGGUUCGAUAGUGAAAGAUGGUUUUGCUAUCACUUAUAGAUGGACCCGCGCCGUAUUAGCUAGUUGGUAAGGUAACGGCUUACCAAGGCGACGAUACGUAGCCGACCUGAGAGGGUGAUCGGCCACACUGGAACUGAGACACGGUCCAG